ensembl:lncRNA
GAUGUAUCAGCUUUCAGUUUUUUACAUUGACGUGCUGUAGAUUUGCUGUAUCUGGAAUUGGUCUGUGUGUGAAUUUAGUUGCUAACAGCAACCUGUGGUUCUGCAACUACAUUUAUUUGGCUGACUGUACCAUUUUUAUAGAUCUCACCUGGGAAACAGAAAGCUUAUUUCACACUAUAAUGCAGGCUCUUGUUUCCAAAGCCUUAUCGUCGCCUUUUAAGGUUUUACUCCUGAUUGAAUUCUACAGUUACACCGAGGGAAUGAUGUGGUACCUUGCCUGUAAAAUUAACUUACCACUCUGUCAACUUUUCACUUUUCUUUGAGGAGCAUUUCCAGCUCCCCUUAAUAACAAAGGCGUGCUCUAUCUUAAAUGAAGCAUUAAUGGAUAAUCGGUAUUCAUGGGCCCACGUUGUAGUGAAUCUUUGUCAUGUUUAUGCCGUUUAAAGACAAUAAGCAGUGAGUCUAAGGAUGUAUGCGGCUCUUAGGGUGCACCAGACUGCAAUACUAAUCAGUUAUAAAAAUGAGCAGCCCUCAUCCAGGCAGACAGCUAUGCUUCGUAUUAACUCAACCAAAUGCACAAUCUGAUGAGACACUGGACUUCAUUUACGUGAGAAAUCUGAGGCUGAAUAUUAUUUUUGUUGCAGUUUUUUUCUAUUAUUAUUAUUAUUCCCUGUGAAUAACUUGCUUUUCUUUAGUAUGCAUUUUUUUUUAUAUUUGUUUAUAGGACAAGGACUUUUUUAUGUUUAUAUUUUAUAUCAUUUAGAUUAGAAUAAUAUUAUAUUACUAAUGACCAGUUUCAGUAUUGUGCUUUGUAUUUCCAAAGGUUAAUCCCUUUGGUGAAGUUUCUGUAUUCAAAGGGAUGCCUGAAAAAGGAAAAGCCUAACUGAGUCUUUUGGACUAAAGUGACCUGUCUUUGUUUUGAUACUUUUUGUUUUGACUCUGAGAUCAGCCUCACGGACAGCCCAAUAUCUUGUUGAUAGGAUUGAGAAAUUCUAAGUUUCCUUGUCUAGAAAAUAAACAAAGAAUAUAUAAACCUGGUCUCAUUAUAAUUUCCUAAACAUUCUGAACCCAUGUUUUAGUUAUCUGUAACUACAGCUGAAUACCACCAGUUUAUACGUUUACAUAUGUUAUCCAAAUGUGGACUGUUAAAUAUCCAUAAUUUACACUUAAUCCUCAAAUAGUCAGUGAGGUCCAUUUAGUUCUGAUUCCACAUCUCAGGAGACCACACUAGAAAUUAUUCAUUUGAUUUUGCUCCUUAUGUGUCACUCAAAAUUAAAUGAGCAGGCGGUGCUAAAGUCCCAGAAGGUUGAUACUGUCAAGGUAGCUUUAAGCUCUGAUUGCAGGCAAGCUGUUAUUACCAGAAGGUAUCUGAAGCGUUGCGUGUAGUUAUAUAAACAUCUCUUGUGUGAAGCUGAUGAGAUCUCUGUGGCAUCCAUCCACUGCAGUAAACUGUCUGGCAACAUCAUUUCUCUACACAUUACCACAGAAGGAGUUUUGGCAGACAAAGCUCUUUCACUUGUGGUUUUUAUUCAGAUAGAUCCUACCAAUAAAAAAAUGAACCAAAAAAAAAAAAAAAAAACCCAAAAAAACCCCCCAAAACAAAGACAUCAACAAAUCAUCGGAAAUAAAACUUACCUAUUGUCUGGGCUAUAAGAUUAAUGCACUUAUAUCAUAAUAAAUACUAAUUUAGGUAUCAGCAGAUGGGGUUGCAAUCUUUCUCUGACACAGUUUGAUUCCAAAAAGUGCACUUUAGCAAAAUGUAGGGCUCAGUGACUCAGCCGACACGGUUGCAGUGGAGAUGGUCACAGUACGUGUGUAGCUGUUAGAGGUUAUAAUAACAGCUCUAACAGGAUUACUCUUCUUACUUUCCUAUGGGGAGCUGACCCUGACCAUGACGACCAUCUUUGAUGCAACUGCCAAAGCAGUAAAAGCAAAAGUGGGACUACUUGUACCCUAAGAGUGAAAAAACACACGCUUUGCCCAAUGUGCCAAAAUGGUGACUGCACUUUGCGGUAGGUUUGCUGACACAUAAUCAUAUAUUCCAUUAUUUUUAACCUAUUACUUCUUUUAAUGUCUAAGAUUUCCACACAGAUGCGAGUCCUCCGUCAGCAGUGGCCAUUCUCAGGCUUUCCAGCUUUUUCUCAGCAGUGUUUCUGUGUAGGUCAUCUUCAAGCCAGG